UACGUAGGGACCGAGCGUUGUCCGGAUUCAUUGGGCGUAAAGAGCUCGUAGGCGGCCACUCAAGUCGAAUGUGAAACCUCGAGGCUUAACCUCGAGCCUGCAUUCGAUACUGGGCGGCUAGAGUCUGGUAGGGGGGAUCUGGAAUUCCUGGUGUAGCGGUGGAAUGCGCAGAUAUCAGGAGGAACACCGGUGGCGAAGGCGGGGGUCCUGGGCCAGUACUGACGCUGAGGAGCGAAAGCGUGGGGAGCAAACAGGG
rnacentral:rRNA from 1 species